rnacentral:rRNA from 1 species
AUCAUGGCUCAGAGUGAACGCUGGCGGCGUGCCUAAUACAUGCAAGUCGAACGGAAUUUAAAAGAGCUUGCUCUUUUAAAUUUUAGUGGCGCACGGGUGAGUAAUAUAUAGCUAAUCUGCCCCUUGCUGGAGGACAACAGUUAGAAAUGACUGCUAAUACUCCAUACUCCUUUUUACCAUAAGAUAAAUCGGGAAAGAAUUUCGGCAAGGGAUGAGACUAUAUCGUAUCAGCUAGUCGGUGGGGUAACGGCCUACCGAGGCUAUGACGCGUAACUGGUCUGAGAGGAUGAUCAGUCACAUUGGAACUGAGACACGGUCCAAACUCCUACGGGAGGCAGCAGUAGGGAAUAUUGCGCAAUGGGGGAAACCCUGACGCAGCAACGCCGCGUGGAGGAUGACACUUUUCGGAGCGUAAACUCCUUUUGUUAGGGAAGAAUAAUGACGGUACCUAACGAAUAAGCACCGGCUAACUCCGUGCCAGCAGCCGCGGUAAUACGGAGGGUGCAAGCGUUACUCGGAAUCACUGGGCGUAAAGGACGCGUAGGCGGAUUAUCAAGUCUCUUGUGAAAUCUAACGGCUUAACCGUUAAACUGCUUGGGAAACUGAUAAUCUAGAGUAAGGGAGAGGCAGAUGGAAUUCUUGGUGUAGGGGUAAAAUCCGUAGAUAUCAAGAAGAAUACCUAUUGCGAAGGCGAUCUGCUAGAACUUAACUGACGCUAAUGCGUGAAAGCGUGGGGAGCAAACAGGAUUAGAUACCCUGGUAGUCCACGCCCUAAACGGUGUAUACCGGUUGUUGCUGUGCUAGUCACGGCAGUAAUCCACCUAACGGAUUAAGUAUACCGCCUGGGGAGUACGGUCGCAAGAUUAAAACUCAAAGGAAUAGACGGGGACCCGCACAAGCGGUGGAGCAUAUGGUUUAAUUCGAAGAUACGCGAAGAACCUUACCCGGACUUGAUAUCUAACAAAUCAUCCAGAGAUGGAAGAGUGUCUGCUUGCAGAAAUGUUAAGACAGGUGCUGCACGGCUGUCGUCAGCUCGUGUCGUGAGAUGUUGGGUUAAGUCCCGCAACGAGCGCAACCCACGUCAUUAGUUGCUAACGGUUCGGCCGAGCACUCUAAUGAGACUGCCUUCGUAAGGAGGAGGAAGGUGUGGACGACGUCAAGUCAUCAUGGCCCUUAUGUCCGGGGCGACACACGUGCUACAAUGGCAUAUACAAUAAGACGCAAUAUCGUAAGAUGGAGCAAAUCUAAAAAAUAUGUCCCAGUUCGGAUUGGAGUCUGCAACUCGACUCCAUGAAGCCGGAAUCGCUAGUAAUCGUAGAUCAGCCAUGCUACGGUGAAUACGUUCCCGGGUCUUGUACACACCGCCCGUC